AAGAACUCUGUCAAUAGUGCACUUAAUGUUUGACAAUGUCUCACAAUGUCACUAAAGCACUACAGAGAUGCUGCCAACCCUGAUUACACAUACUCUCCACAAUUUAAGGUCACAGAAGAAGCCAGCAGGAUAAGAUAAGCCCAAAAGUCUGCCAGGAACCUGUGGCUCAGGUCAAUCUCAGAAGAACCUGUUCCUCCAUGGCAUGCCACCUGUCUGUGAAAGGCACAGUAAGAAGGCAUCAGCCCACCAGACAACCUAGAAAUAUUUCUGACUCUACCCAGUACUUGACAUCACAUACCCACUGAACAAAGUAAGGCAGAUGGGGAAUUUCUCUUGUGAAGGAAGAUCAGAGGC
rnacentral:lncRNA from 1 species